AUGCUCUUGUUUUUGUUCAUUCAGAGAUGGGCGAACGCUGUGAGGGUUGAUGUUGUCAACUUUGUGUCUAUGGUGAACGGAGGUCUGGAAAUGCAGAGCGACUUUUUCACACAUAAUAACAUGAAGGUCCAUAAAAAAGACACCCUGAGCCAAAUGCUGCAGUUUCUUGUUGACGACUACUUCCCACAGAUGCACCAAAGGUACACAGACCUCAACAGCCAGUCCUCUGGCGAGUACAGCCUCAACCCCACUGUGCCUCCGUUCCUGUGGCAUCGCCCUUGGAGUGUGGUGGCCCUGGUGAUGGACAACAUGUCUGCGGCCCUGCAAGACCCCGACAUCGUGGUGGAGCAGGCCAGCGACGCCGCCGACGGCACCUUCCGGGUGAAGAGUCGGGCAGAGACCACGGCAGCGCGGUCCUACGCGGUCAGCUUCGGUUCAGAGUCCACCUGGCCCUCCUGUGAGUGUGAGGUGUGGAGGGACCAGCGCCUGCCCUGUGAACACUUCUGUCACGUCUUCAGGUCUGAGCCUAACUGGACCUGGGAGCACCUGUGUCCCAAAUACAGGGACCACCCUCUGCUCACGCUGCAUUCACAGACCACUCACACCACAACAGAGGAGAUAGAGGAAGCCCUCAAUGGUCUAAUGCAUCUCUCCCCAGCUUCCCCAGUCUCUCUUCAGUGGGAUGGGCCUGAAGAAACAGUGCCACUGGUGCAAACUCCUCAAACUCCACAGUUACAACUGUAUAGCAUACAAACACAGUGGGUGGCCCCACAGGCUUCACAGGGUCUGCGGGAGAGGGAGGAACUGCAAAAGGAGGAACUGCAGAGGGAGUGUGUGGCCAAACUCAAAUCCAUCAUGGAGAAUGUGAGUGGGAUCAACGACAUUGACCACCUACAGGAGCUCAGGCAGAAACUGGACGUUCUCCAGGCUCAGAGUGAGGCCAUGCUGGUUCAGAAGGACGCUAGCGUCAAAACAGUUACCACCUCUAAGGGGAAGAGAAAAAGGGCAGGGGUGGAGAACUGGUUCACUAACAAGUGGCUGUCAGAGGAGAAGAGAUGGGCGAACGCUGUGAGGGUUGAUGUUGUCAACUUUGUGUCUAUGGUGAACGGAGGUCUGGAAAUGCAGAGCGACUUUUUCACACAUAAUAACAUGAAGGUCCAUAAAAAAGACACCCUGAGCCAAAUGCUGCAGUUUCUUGUUGACGACUACUUCCCACAGAUGCACCAAAGGUAAGUUUGUUUUAGAAUAGGAUUCAAUGCCAUUUAGAAUAGUAUUCGCUGUCAAAAGUGGUCUUCUGUUGAGAUAUCUGCAAAAUUUAUGGAAGAUAAACACCAUAUCANNNNNNNNNNCCCCCCCCCCCCCCCACCCCCACAUUCUGAAAUUGCAUUUUUGCCCCCUUCAGUUAUAUUAUAAUACAAAAUGCAGCCUCCGUGUGCUUUCGGACCAA
rnacentral:lncRNA from 13 species